rnacentral:rRNA from 1 species
GACGAACGCUGGCGGCGUGCUUAACACAUGCAAGUCGAACGGAAAGGCCCUGCUUUUGUGGGGUGCUCGAGUGGCGAACGGGUGAGUAACACGUGAGUAACCUGCCCUUGACUUUGGGAUAACUUCAGGAAACUGGGGCUAAUACCGGAUAGGAGCUCCUGCUGCAUGGUGGGGGUUGGAAAGUUUCGGCGGUUGGGGAUGGACUCGCGGCUUAUCAGCUUGUUGGUGGGGUAGUGGCUUACCAAGGCUUUGACGGAUAGCCGGCCUGAGAGGGUGACCGGCCAAAUGGGGACGAGGAUACGGCCCCGACCCCCAGGGGGGGCAGGAGGGGGGAAUAUUGCAAAAGGGGCGGAAGCCGGAUGCAGAAACGCCGGGGGGGGGAUGACGGCCUUCGGGUUGAAACCCGCUUUCGCCUGGGACGAAGGGUGAGUGACGGUAAUGGGAAAAGAAGCCCCGGCUAACUACGU